rnacentral:lncRNA from 1 species
AGAUGGGGUCAGGACUAUCAGACAGUUUGGCUGCUGCUACACAGAUGCAUAGAUGAAAUGGAUGCUGGGAAGAUAGAAUUGUAUCCUCCACCAGUGCUCUGCAGACCACUAGGUGGCAAAUGGAUUUGUACGUGAGUAUAGUGCUCCCCCAGCUCCCUCCAGAGACCUGACUUUGCUCCAGGCCUGGAUGCUGAUGGCUGCCUGAACCUCCCUCUCCCUCAGCCCAGCCACGUGCUGGCACUCUCCAGCUGUGAGAAAUUCUUCCAGCUGCCAGUGGCUUCUCUUGUGAUGUCAACCUACUAAGGGGGAGGCAAUGUGUCCAUUCUCCUUUGAGAGGCCACGGUUAGCAAACAGAACUAGGUGAAGAGAGGACCCAUCUGAAGUCAGGAGAUCAGGUGUGAGCUCUGAUUUUCAGGCUGGUCUUGAGGUCUGGAAAAGUCACUUCUUGAAUCUGGACACCGACAGUGAAGGUCCCACUGACCAAGACCACUCUCCAGGGAGGGAGAUUCUAU